UGUUCCCUUCCUGCCCUCAGAACUGCACCACAGCCCCCACCAUGCAGUCCGCCCUUACUUUGGUUUCCAUCCUAACCCUGCUCCAAGGUGUCCAGGGUGAUGUCCAGCUAGUGGAGUCUGGUGGAGACGUGAGACAGCCUGGGGGGUCACUGCGUCUCUCCUGUAAAGCCUCCGGAUUCUCCUUCAGUAGCAGCUACUGUAUGAGCUGGGUCCGCCAGGCUUCAGGGAAGGGGCUGGAGUGGGUCGCUGUUAUUAGAGGUGAUGGGGGCUACAUAUACUACGCAGACUCUGUGAAAGGCCGAUUCACCAUCUCCUUGGAUAAGGCCAACAUCAUGGUUCAUCUUCAGAUGAACAGCCUGAAAACUGAGGACAUGGCCCUGUAUUACUGUGCAAGAGGCAGACACAGUGAGAGAAACCACAUCCUGAGCCUGUCAGAAACCUGGGAGGAUAUCUGGGCUGCUGCAGGAUGGGGGAACAGAGCGACAGUAAUGCAAAGGUCUCCAAAAUCCCAAAGCAGCUUUAUUCAGCUUAAAUACAAACUUCAUGGACUCAGUUAUUACCUGAUUCACAAAUUAUAA